UAAAAAAAAUUCAUUCUCCCGCUAUCCCUGUCCCCAAACCCUAGUCGUUUUCACCUUAUUGCUCAAAUUUAAACUCAAAAUCAAGAUUGAGGAGAUAAUCAAUUAAAUUGUCUCACAUUCUUUUUCUAAAUCUGUUGUUUUUCGAUUCAAUAUCUAAUCUAAUCAAUCUUGUGCUUCCUUCGAUUACAGAUUUUGUUGUGGCGAGAGGAUGAACAAUCAUAGUAGAAGCAACAGGAACACAGGCACUGGUCCACCCACUCAAUCGGUCCUUAAUAGUAUGUUGAAGCCUUGAGAUUCUUCUUUCAUGACUAUGUUGGUUCAUAACUUAUGCCUUAAAAGUGGACCCAACCUAGGUUCUAAAGCAUCAAAGAUUCGUAUUCUAUGUGAUUUUAAACAGCCUGACCCCGCCUGGUAAGCACAGCAUUUGGGUGAGGGGUCGGGUUGGGUGAGGCCAAAGCACUACUUUGUUGUUGUUGUUGUUGUUGUUGUUUUUACAAAAUUAACAUAAUAAUUAGGAUGGUUCGAUAUGUGUGGGGGGGGGGGUCAAUGAGGGUGCUGGCGCUGAUGAAAGAUCUAUCUUAGUGAGGACAAUGGUAGAAAGCAAAGCAAGCAAAAAUGUGCUUCGCGAAUUUUACCUACUUGGGUACGAGUUAUACCAUGAGUUGCUGUGUGGGGUUUUGUUAUCAUUUGCAAAGGGGCGCACAAAUAACCGUUAUAGUUUCUUCAUAUAGUAAGAUGCUAAUUUACGUGCCACUGAAUUCGCUGACGACAACGUAGUUGCGACACCUGGCAUUCAAAUGGUUGAAGUGACUGCACCUGCAUCAACUAAAAUUACACUGAAGUUGUUGCAGCAAUUUCUUUAUUUUGUGAACAUCUUGCAGCGUUAAUACGAACAACGAAGGUUAUCAAAGGAACAAAUGAAGAACUACAAAAACCUUCAGAAGAUGGAAAUGCUUUGGUCUAUCCUUUUGCGGUUGUAAUGAACAAGGAGUUUGAUCGUCACGUUCGACUUUAUAGCAAAGGUUUUGCUAAAAGAUGAUGAAAAUAUGGAUGGUGGUGAGGAAGCAUACACGAUUCUAGGUGGGAUUUUAUCAUGGCGGAGAGGAACCAUACAUGAUGGUUACAUUCGACUUAUAUCAUUGAAACACCAAAGCGCCAACCAGCAAAAUUUGAAGCUAUGAUGUAGAGUAUUAUUGAAAAGCUAUUUGUUGACUAGUUUAGGAUCUUAGAUGCCAAUGAGGUUUUCGUUACCUUUUAUCAUUGUAAUUGACAAUGUUAUUUUGAUUACAUUGUUAUUUUAAGUUUGGACAUGUGUUCAUGUUAUUAUUGUGUUGGU
rnacentral:lncRNA from 1 species